ACCCAGUCAGCGAACGCUGUGAAUAGGUCGUGUAUUGCAACUCCCUCCAAACACACGCGCUGCACCUUGCAACUCCCCCAUUCUCCCUAGAACUCUCCGUCCAUUUCAUAUCAAACCCUAAGAAGCCUCUCUCUCUCUAAAUCUCUAUGCAAAUUCCCUUAAAAAAAUCUCUAUGUAAAUCUCUCAUUCAUACUAUAUUCCUCCAAAACCUUUAAUAGAUUUACUCAUUAAGGAUACCUCAAAAUCUUUCGAUUUUGCAUCAAGUAUAUAUUCAACCAGGAGAGAGAGAUGAAGAGAGGGAGGAAGAGAGAGAAAGAUGCUGAACUUCUUUGAGAUCUACAUUCAAUCUCCGUCGUUGACUUCACGGAAUUGCCUCAUCUUUCGGCUGCAAGGCGUGAGAUCUUCAGAUCGAUUUCUUGGAUGCUUUGUUCUAGGGGAACGAAUUAACUUCCAAAUUUUGUUGAGGAUUUAUUGUCCAAGUUUGAACAAUUUUCUUCAAUUUGGAUUCUCUCUGAUUGGAACCUUUUUAAUAACAACCCCCUUCCUCAAAUGGUUCAGUUUUGAAUAUAUUAAUCAUGGUAUGAUCUUGGAAGACAGCCAGCUAACACUAAACUGUCAAGCAACAAGACAGUUAGGAGGGUUGGGUCUGUGGUGGUAAUGUCAUGUGGCGUGCACUGAGGUUGGAUACAAACAAAUUUUCAUGGGGUGGUGAAGCUUUGACCCGCAAGACUCGUCUUUUGGAUGUUGUAUACAAUGCAUCCAACUAUGACUUGGUUAGGACCCAGACUUAGGUGAAGAGUGUCAUUGUUCAAGUUGAUGCUGCAACAUUUAAGUAGUGGUAUCUCCAGCACUAAGAUGUUGAGAGUGGAUGCAAGAAGAAGGCUGCUGCAGCCGCCGCCAAGAAAGAAACCCAGGAUCUUGAAUCUGAUACCGUGAGAAAUCACCUUACAGUGCUUGCUGAAUCUUUGAAUAAAGCAAGGUCCACGAUAUAUCCGAUCCUCCCCCUAACAAAGCAUCAAAAAUCGAAGAUACUUUGCCUGGUUUAGCUGAGCUUGUGGAGAAGGAACAUAAGAAGCUUCUUGCUCGUAAAACAAUCAUUGAACAGCGCAAAGAGGAACAAGAACGCCAGCUUUUAGAGAAAGUUUGUUCACUCAUUGAUGUACCUUUAAUUCAGGCAGUUGUUCUGUUUUAGAGACUUGACUGCUUUGGUGUCUUAAAAGGAGCGUGAGGAAGAGUCGAAGAUAUUACAGCUACAGAAAAGUAAUGUGGAAGCUGAACAAAAAAGGCUUUCUUCUGAACUUGAGAAGAGGAAAAUUCAGCGCAUCCAAAAGGAAAUAGAAGAACGUGAGAUUGAAGAAGCCAAAUCCCUACUUCAGGAAAAGUUUUCCAAAAAUAAGAAGAAACCACUUAUAGAAGGGGAUAAGUUGACAAAGCAAGCAUUGAUGGAGUUGGGUCUCAACGAGCAGCUGAGGGAGAAACAAGAAAUGGAGAAAAAACUACAGAAGUUGAGCAAGCAAAUGGAUUAUCUUAAGAGAGCUAAGAGAGAGGAGGCAGCUCCAUUAAUUGAAUCUGCAUCUGUACAUGUACGGAAUCUUUUAUGGUGUUCCUUGUUUGGAUUCUUAGUUCCUACCUUUUGGUAAUAAAUUUUGCUAAUUUACCAAAAUAAAAAAUGGAUUAUUAUUGUAAUGAUUUUUUUUGUAAAAUAAAUGUACUAUUUGCAGCGCGCACUGUUAGGUGAAUGCUGCGAAUAGUUUCAGAAA